rnacentral:tRNA from 2 species
GCCGUCGUGGCGCAAUCGGAUAGCGCGUUUGGCUGUUAACCAAAAGGUUGGUGGUUCGAGCCCACCCGAUGGCG